rnacentral:snRNA from 1 species
GGCUAAGGGGCUGAUCUGUUGGGCUUAGCAAUGUCCUUUUCCUCCUUCACUGCCAUGUGCGGGUCUCUCCCAAAGUGGGUGUUCCGCUGAAGACGAUCUUCCCCAAAGUGAGUAGUCAAGAGUGUAUGAGUAGUUGUUAACCUAACCUAUAAAUGAACCAUUUAUAGGAGAACCUGACAGUCAAGUUUCUAAGACUUCAGGCCCAUCAGAAGAAGACUCCAUAUGGUAGUUGGCUCUUUUU